UUUUCAAAAAGUUGAUUCCAUCUCGAUGUUGGUGGACUACUAGGGCAGAGUUCCCACACGGAGGCUCUGCAAGCCCCGCAGUAGAGUUGGCCCUUCAUGCAGAAGAUUGCUGAAAAGUGUGAUGAGCCUUUGCACGGAGUGAUAUACUACAUAUUAAACGGGUCACUCGUUAAAACAAAAGACCUGCUUUCAAUUUGCCGUGUACGGAAAUGUCCGGUGGAGGCACUAAGAGCGGUGCUUCCAUAAAUAUGUGUGUUUACGCCUUUCUCUGCUGUUCGACACUAAUUGCAACAACAUAAGAAGAAGAGGCAGAACAUGAUUCGGAGGAAAACGAACAGACACGGAUGCCAGAUAGAUGCUUGUUUAAAGUGUAAACGCACGUUUGCUGAAACUGGUCAUUCACAAGGCCGCCAAGCUC